CUUGGGCAAUCUGCCCUUGAGUGGGAAACAACCUGCCGAAAGGCGGGCUAAUGUCCCAUAAGACCACAGGGUGACAUCAUCCAGAGGUCAAAGCUCCGCAAGGGGCGCUUGAGGAGGAGCCCGAGUCCUAUCAGCUAGUUGGUGAGGUAACGGCUCACCAAGGCUUUGACGGGUAGCCGGCCUGAAAGGGUGAUCGGCCACACUGGCACUGAGACACGGGCCAG
rnacentral:rRNA from 1 species